UAGGGAAUAUUGGACAAUGGGUGCGAGCCUGAUCCAGCCAUGCCGCGUGCAGGAAGACGGCCUUCUGGGUUGUAAACUGCUUUUGCCAGGGGAUAAAAAGUCCCUGCGGGGAAAAUUGAAGGUACCUGGUGAAUAAGCCACGGCUAACUACGUGCCAGCAGCCGCGGUAAUACGUAGGUGGCAAGCGUUGUCCGGAUUUAUUGGGUUUAAAGGGUGCGUAGGUGGUUCCAUAAGUCAGUGGUGAAAUACGGCAGCUUAACUGUCGAGGUGCCAUUGAUACUGCGGAACUUGAGUACAGACGAGGUAGGCGGAAUUGACGGUGUAGCGGUGAAAUGCUUAGAUAUCGUCAAGAACACCGAUAGCGAAGGCAGCUUACUAGACUGUAACUGACACUGAGGCACGAAAGUGUGGGGAUCAAACAGG
rnacentral:rRNA from 1 species